CUUGAUGUCAGGGGCAGUUACUCUCACUUCACCUCUGGAAUCCAGCUAUUUCAUCCAUGAGGCUGUAAUGAAGUUAUUUUUAAGUGCUGCCUGAUCUGCUGAAUUCUUCCACCAUUUUGUGUAUCUUGCUCUGAAUCUACAGCAUCUGCAGAAUUUCCUGUUAGAACUUGGUGGUAACCGGCCUCUUAACAUAUGGUACUAAAUUAGACAACAUGAGGAAGGAACUUUUGAUGGCGACAGAAUGCUGAAGGUUUCAAAAAUGAAGGAUGGAAGAUUGGACAGUGAUCUGGACAUAGGAAUGCCAACUAUUAGAAAUGCUGCCAAUUAUGUAUUGAAGGAGUUGCUUUGGAUCUGGCCCCCAUGGUAUGGUCGAGGUUGCUAUCUUAGAAUACUUAAGGGCAUCCUAACACUAUUAGCAUUGUACACGGGUCCCUGAGAUUCUCUGUCAUGCCCUUGUCAGUUCUGAAAUGUGAUAUUUUACCUCUGUUAAAUGUAAAAGGUAACAUGCAAAAGCUAUUGAAAAGCAUUUGAUUGCCAAGUGAUGAAAUUUAUCUUGUUUACUUUUCAUGAACGAAAAUUGAAUUGGUUUCCUUAAGCAAAUACACUGUGCAAAGUGCACAAGCUUGUCUGGCCAUAAAAAGUAGGUAUCACAAUAAAGGGAGCUGAGGGAUUAGAAUGAUAACAUCAGUGAAGGGAGAAACAAAAGUAAAUGCUUGUCUUAAGUGCAGUUCUAAUGACCGUUAUAUAAACACU